rnacentral:tRNA from 1 species
GCCGGCCUGGCGCAGCGCCUGCAGCGCGCCGAUCGCCAUCAGGUCGUUGGCGACGAAGACGGCGUCGAGCUUCGGGUCGUCCUCCAGGAGCUGGCGC